UACGUAGGGGGCGAGCGUUACCCGGAUUUACUGGGCGUAAAGAGCGUGUAGGCGGCUGGCCAAGCGUGAUGUGAAAUCUUCGGGCUUAACCCGAAAACUGCAUUGCGAACUGGUCUGGCUAGAGUGUGUGAGAGGGUAGUGGAAUUCCCGGUGUAGCGGUGAAAUGCGUAGAUAUCGGGAGGAACUCCAGUGGCGAAGGCGGCUACCUGGCACAUAACUGACGCUGAUACGCGAAAGCGUGGGGAGCGAACCGG
rnacentral:rRNA from 1 species